UCCUCUUUCUUCACAGUCCUGUCUGAAGGUGUUCGGCUGCCUUUUUUCAAAGGCUUGUGGUCUUCUGCAUCACUGGAAGAAAAAGAAAUUUUCGAAUGAAGGAGCCAUCCU